AAGUCGAACGGACCCGCAAGGGUCAGUGGCGAACGGUCGAGUAACACGUAGACAACCUGCCCUCGAGUGGGGGAUAACAGCGGGAAACUGCUGCUAAUACCGCAUGUGGCGGGGGGAGGCCUCUCCCUUUGGCCAAAGGGGCAACUCGCUCGAGGAUGGGUCUGCGGCCUAUCAGCUUGUUGGUGAGGUAACGGCUCACCAAGGCGACGACGGGUAGCUGGUCUGAGAGGAUGAUCAGCCGGACGGGGACUGAGACACGGCCCCGACUCCUUCGGGAGGCAGCAAUGAGGGAUAUUGCACAAUGGGGGAAACCCUGAUGCAGCGACGCCGCGUGGGUGAGGAAGUCCUUCGGGAUGUAAAGCCCUUUUGCAGGGGACGAUUCCAGACGGUACCCUGCGAAUAAGCCCCGGCUAACUACGUGCCAGCAGCCGCGGUAAUACGUAGGGGGCAAGCGUUGUCCGGAUUUACUGGGCGUAAAGAGCGCGUAGGCGGAGCGUUAAGUCUGGCCUGAAAGCCCCCGGCUCAACCGGGGAGAGUGGCUGGAAACUGGCGUUCUUGAGGGCGACAGAGGAGAGUGGAAUUCCUGGUGUAGCGGUGAAAUGCGUAGAUAUCAGGAGGAACACCCGUGGC
rnacentral:rRNA from 1 species